UCGAGCGAACAGACGAGGAGCUUGCUCCUCUGACGUUAGCGGCGGACGGGUGAGUAACACGUGGAUAACCUACCUAUAAGACUGGGAUAACUUCGGGAAACCGGAGCUAAUACCGGAUAACAUGUUGAACCGCAUGGUUCAACAGUGAAAGACGGUCUUGCUGUCACUUAUAGAUGGAUCCGCGCCGCAUUAGCUAGUUGGUAAGGUAACGGCUUACCAAGGCAACGAUGCGUAGCCGACCUGAGAGGGUGAUCGGCCACACUGGAACUGAGACACGGUCCAGACUCCUACGGGAGGCAGCAGUAGGGAAUCUUCCGCAAUGGGCGAAAGCCUGACGGAGCAACGCCGCGUGAGUGAAGAAGGUCUUCGGAUCGUAAAACUCUGUUAUUAGGGAAGAACAAAUGUGUAAGUAACUAUGCACGUCUUGACGGUACCUAAUCAGAAAGCCACGGCUAACUACGUGCCAGCAGCCGCGGUAAUACGUAGGUGGCAAGCGUUAUCCGGAAUUAUUGGGCGUAAAGCGCGCGUAGGCGGUUUUUUAAGUCUGAUGUGAAAGCCCACGGCUCAACCGUGGAGGGUCAUUGGAAACUGGAAAACUUGAGUGCAGAAGAGGAAAGUGGAAUUCCAUGUGUAGCGGUGAAAUGCGCAGAGAUAUGGAGGAACACCAGUGGCGAAGGCGACUUUCUGGUCUGUAACUGACGCUGAUGUGCGAAAGCGUGGGGAUCAAACAGGAUUAGAUACCCUGGUAGUCCACGCCGUAAACGAUGAGUGCUAAGUGUUAGGGGGUUUCCGCCCCUUAGUGCUGCAGCUAACGCAUUAAGCACUCCGCCUGGGGAGUACGACCGCAAGGUUGAAACUCAAAGGAAUUGACGGGGACCCGCACAAGCGGUGGAGCAUGUGGUUUAAUUCGAAGCAACGCGAAGAACCCUUACCAAAUCUUGACAUCCUCUGACCCCUCUAGAGAUAGAGUUUUCCCUUUCGGGGGACAGAGUGACAGGUGGUUGCAUGGUUGUCGUCAGCUCGUGUCGUGAGAAUGGUUUGGGUUAAGUCCCGCACGAGC
rnacentral:rRNA from 1 species